AAGAUGUCUUAAAUACCAUGAGAUUUAUAAAUAUUUUUAAUAGUUAAAUUUAACUUCGAAAGUUACCUAAUAUCCAAUGAGGUUUGAGAUUGGAACUUGUUUUUCUUUUUUGCAUUUGAAUGUGCUUCAUUUAGGUUGAUGCAAGCAAGUUAGUGUGGGUGCUUAAUAGCAUAUCAUAAAGGAUUUAACUUAAUUCCACCAUAAUGAAUUAAUUCUCUCAGUGACACUGUUUUCAUUAUAGAUUUAAUGACAUCACCUUGGCCAACAUUCAGGAAUUCAGAACUCUAAGUUACCCUGAACUAUCUAAAAACGAAAAUGGAAAGAUAAUUCUGCUUCAUGUCUGGUGUACUCCAACUGUGGAUAAGGUGCCCUUCAGGGCCUUAAAGGACAGGAACAAAGUAUGGCAGUUUGUCAUCAGAGCUCCAGGAAGCCACGAGGAAACUGAGCUUAGGAACCAAAUUGCUCAAAAUGGGAAAGAAAUGAAGAGAUGUACAGCAGAUGCUCUCAGCCUGGAAGUGUAACCUUCGGGAAGAAGGAACCACCAGUCAUGCUAAUUGGUCUUGAACAAGGCUUGUUUGCGCUGAGAGAUGAGAGAGAGCACCCCAUUUCUUCCUGAUUCAGUUCUGUAGACAUCUUUCUGGGAUUUGCAAUUGAUAAUUAUAGACACAGAGAUACACUUGGCCUAAUUUGCCAGCCUAUUUGGAGUCAUGAGUGUCACCCUGUAUGUCUGGUAUAUGUGCAGAUGGUUUCUGGCGGCUUCAAUAAAAUCAGAAAACACAAAAUCUCUAUUUUUUUUUUCCAGACAAUUGAAAGGGGCUGGUUGUCAGUGUCCUGGGUGUUGAAAUGAAAAAUAUUAUGCUGAUUUUUUAGAAGUGUUCCUUAUGCUUAUAGACCCAUAAUUUCACUACACUCUGUUAUCUAGGCUAAGUGUAGGGGUGAGGAAGUAGAGUCAAUCAAUACUGGUAUCAGGUUGGAAUUAGUGAAUGCUUUAACGCAGUACAUAUAAUUUCUGAUUUCCAUUUGUAAACUGA
rnacentral:lncRNA from 1 species